rnacentral:rRNA from 1 species
CCUACGGGUGACAGCAGUGAGGAAUAUUGGUCAAUGGGCGGGAGCCUGAACCAGCCAAGCCGCGUGAAGGAAGAAGGCGCCAAGCGUCGUAAACUUCUUUUGUCGGGGAACAAAGGGCGCCACGUGUGGCGUUGUGAGUGUACCCGAAGCAAAAGCAUCGGCUAACUCAGUGCCAGCAGCCUCGGUAAUACGGAGGAUGCGAGCGUUAUCCGGAUUGAUUGGGUUUAAAGGGUGCGUAGACGGUCCGGAAAGUCAGCGGUAAAAGCCCGGGGCUCAACCCCGGCGAGCCGUUGAAACUGUCGGACUAGAGACUGCGAGAAGUACGCGGAAUGCGCGGUGGAGCGGUGAGAUGCAUAGAUAUCGCGCAGAACUCCGAUUGCGAAGGCAGCGUACCGGCGCCGGACUGACGCUGAGGCACGAAAGCGUGGGUAUCAAACAGGAUUAGAUACCCGAGUAGUG